UAAGUGAAUUAUUUGUCUUUUUGUUGUUGAGGUGUUGAAGUGUUCUAUAGAUUUCAUUGUAUUUUUGAGAACUGCUCUUUAUUAUGAUUGUUACUUUAUUCAUCCAGCUAAUAUUUAAUUAGCUACUGCUGUGUGUGUUCCAGGCAAUGUGAAUUUAUUAUACUUUUUCCUAUGACUUUAUAUAACAUCAAAAGAUUGUUUUCUCUCUGUUGCAUUUUCAUGUUAGUAAUUUAAAUAAAGGAGUUUGAACAGAUAUGACAGUUAACAAAUGUGGGAACACAAGGUAGAAAGUACUAGUAUUUGAAAAAUAUUCAUUCUCCAUCCCAUGGCUGAUAAUAUAUGUCCUGCCUUCAGCCUUGGUGGCACAGUGGUUAAGCGUUUGACUGCUAACCAAAAAGUCUGCAGUUCCAGGCUGCUCCUUCGAAACCCUAUGGGGCAGUUCUACCCUGUCCUGUAGGGUCGCUAUGAGUGGGAAUCGUCUCGAUGGCAACAGUUUUGUUGUGUUUUGUUUUUACCUUCACUGUUAUAUUCAUUACCUUAAUUUACACUCCAAUUUUAUUAAGGAAAUCUAAAGAAGCAAGAGCAGACUUGUCAAAGAUCUGACUCCUAUAGAGAGCAAUUUCAGAGAAAGCUUCAUAUUAAAAGAUACCUCCAGCCAUAAAAUUGUUCCCCAGAUAUUGUUCAAAUUAUCUCUCAUUGUCUAAAAUACUACGGAAUUGCUCUUCUCUGUUGUAUAUUUUUAACUUUAAUAUAUCUUAAAGUUGCUUUCAUCCAGUGGUAUACCGGUAGAUUUAACGAAUGACUGUCUGGGGGAUGGGAAGCCCUGAUUUGUAAAUUUUCCAAUUUCCAUGGUGUAAAUACUCCCACUAUAGCCAAUUCAAGCUACCAGUGUGAUUCGCUGAAUGCAGAGUUGGGAAAAGAUAUCCACAAUUGGCCUUCCAAAGCCAGUAUUAGCUGGCUGUAGCACAACACUGCCUUUAUCUAGAUAUUUGUACAUGUUUAAAUUAAAAAUCCUUAAUCUAAAAAAAAAAAAAAUCAGUUCUUUAAAAAAAAUUUUGUUCAAAUUUUUAAAUUUAGAUUUUAAUUUUUUUUUUUUAAUUUCUUCUAUCUUGGACUCCAAAUUACUGUGUUCCAGUUUCAUUUUCAGACUAUGGUUUCCUCUUUCCCUAAGAUGUUUGGCCUAUAAAGAAGAGUUUGGAAACUUUGUAGUACAUUUCCAAUUGCUUCAUUCACCCCUUCUAACAAAGAAACAUAUGAAUGAACUGGAUCAACAUGUAUCAUCAUGGAUAAACCUCAAAAUCAUAACAUUGAAUAUUUAUUGAACAAAGAAAGUUGCAAAUGUGUAGGUACAGUAUGAUACCAGUUAUAAAAGUUUUAUAUAUAUUUUUAUAAAUUGUUUAUGAGCAUAUAUAUGUACUAAUAAAACAUAAGAACAUAGAUGUGAAGGAUACAAUUUAAAAGUAGUAAACUGGAGGGAGGAAGGGGAAUGGGUUAUAUCUGUAUCUUUUUUUUUGAAGGAAAAAAUCUGAGACGAAUAGGACAAAAUAAUGAGAAAUCUAAGUGAUAGGUCACUGUGAUAAUAUUCUGCUAUUUUAUGUAUUUAAAACACUUAAUAAUUUAACUUCUAAAAAUCAGAAAUAAAUGUACAUUCCUUAAAAAAAAAAAAAAA